AGUCAUAUGCUUGUCUCAAAGAUUAAGCCAUGCAUGUCUCAGUACAAGCCAAAUUAAGGUGAAACCGCGAAAGGCUCAUUAAAUCAGUUAUGGUUCCUUAGAUCGUACCCACAUUUACUUGGAUAACUGUGGUAAUUCUAGAGCUAAUACAUGCCAACAGAACUCUGACCGGAGACGGAAAGAGUGCUUUUAUUAGAUCAAAACCAAUCGGCCGCGAACGCAAGUUCGACGUCGUACAUCUUGGUGACUCUGAAUAACUUUUGCUGAUCGCACGGUCUCGCACCGGCGACGCAUCUUUCAAAUGUCUGCCUUAUCAACUGUCGAUGGUAGGUUCUGCGCCUACCAUGGUUGUAACGGGUAACGGGGAAUCAGGGUUCGAUUCCGGAGAGGGAGCCUGAGAAACGGCUACCACAUCCAAGGAAGGCAGCAGGCGCGCAAAUUACCCACUCCCGGCACGGGGAGGUAGUGACGAAAAAUAACAAUACGGGACUCAUCCGAGGCCCCGUAAUUGGAAUGAGUACACUCUAAACCCUUUAACGAGGACCAAUUGGAGGGCAAGUCAGGUGCCAGCAGCCGCGGUAAUACCUGCUCCAAUAGCGUAU
rnacentral:rRNA from 1 species